AAAAAGUCUUCAACUAACUGCAGAAAUAAAGCAUGAGUUUGCUGCAGGAAGAGUUUCUGUUCUCUGUGGAGGAUUUCUCCUGAACUUGUUUGUGUCUCCUCAUGCAGUGGGUCAUGUUCCCCCCACCCUGACAGUGCUGUCCCCCUCCAUGGAUCAGGGGAAGGCCACACUCCUGUGUCUGGCCAACAAUGGCUUCCCUUCAGGCUGGACUCUGUCCUGGAAGGUGGACGGCAGCAGCAGCAGCAGCAGCAGCAGCAGCAGCAGCCCCGGGGUGCUGCAGAAGGACGGCCUCUACAGCUGGAGCAGCACCCUGAGGCUCUCUGCAGACCAGUGGGAGAAGGUGGACUCUGUGACCUGUGAGGCCACCCAGGACUCCCAGACUCCAGUCUCAGAGACUCUGAGGAGAAAUACCUGUUCCUAGUCACCACCUCAACGACUUGU